UACGAAGGGGGCUAGCGUUGCUCGGAAUCACUGGGCGUAAAGCGCACGUAGGCGGAUUGUUAAGUCAGGGGUGAAAUCCUGGAGCUCAACUCCAGAACUGCCUUUGAUACUGAAGAUCUUGAGUCCGGGAGAGGUGAGUGGAACUGCGAGUGUAGAGGUGAAAUUUCGUAGAUAUUCGCAAGAACACCAGUGGCGAAGGCGGCUCACUGGCCCGGUACUGACGCUGAGGCACGAAAGCGUGGGGAGCAAACAGGG
rnacentral:rRNA from 1 species